rnacentral:rRNA from 1 species
GAUGAACGCUGGCGGCGUGCCUAAUACAUGCAAGUCGAGCGAACAGACGAGGAGCUUGCUCCUCUGACGUUAGCGGCGGACGGGUGAGUAACACGUGGAUAACCUACCUAUAAGACUGGGAUAACUUCGGGAAACCGGAGCUAAUACCGGAUAAUAUAUUGAACCGCAUGGUUCAAUAGUGUAAGACGGUUUUGCUGUCACUUAUAGAUGGAUCCGCGCCGCAUUAGCUAGUUGGUAAGGUAACGGCUUACCAAGGCAACGAUGCGUAGCCGACCUGAGAGGGUGAUCGGCCACACUGGAACUGAGACACGGUCCAGACUCCUACGGGAGGCAGCAGUAGGGAAUCUUCCGCAAUGGGCGAAAGCCUGACGGAGCAACGCCGCGUGAAUGAUGAAGGUCUUCGGAUCGUAAAACUCUGUUAUUAGGGAAGAAAAAAUGUGUAAGUAAAUAUGCACGUCUUGACGGUACCUAAUCAGAAAGCCACGGCUAACUACGUG